rnacentral:ncRNA from 1 species
UUGGAGGAAAAAUUUGACUGAUUGCAACCUCUUUGUCCUGAAAUUUCAGAAAACAAAAAAUGCUAAAGCAGUAAU